ensembl:lncRNA
AUGACAUCUCAUCCUACAAGCAAAGAAACUAGUCCCGAGAGGGCGUGUUCCCUGGGUCAAAAGCACACAGCUGGUGAGGCGGUGGUCCACAUUGAAACUCCAAGCUGUUCAGUCUUCCUGACCCUCCUGCUCACCGGCGGUGGGCCAGUUCCCUUGGUGCUCAUAGGGACGCCCCACAAGAUACUGUUCCCCAUGGUGGUGGAGGAGACCAUGCUCUGGAGGAGGAGGCAGAUUGGUGACAGCCCACUUGCCCAGACACCAGUGGGGAGAGUCAUUUACAGGAUCCAGUCCUGUGUUCUUUAUCUGGAGGAACUUUGCGGUUCAGAAAUCCCCUGGAAAUUGCAUACACAGUUUUCUGCAUCUGGGAAGGAGAACCCAUCUCUUUCAGUCGAGUCCCAGAGGGGGUCCUCCGUGUGCAAGACGUUUGGACCAUAACCUCUCUACCCUCGGUGUGUGGGUGGGACGAGGUGCAGAGACUAGAAGAGGCUUGUCCCGGGUUGCCUGACUCCCAGGCGUCCGCAGGGAGGCAGUAUCACCCAGCGUUUGAGAGGCUGGCCCGGACUCAGACCCGCCACCUCUCCAGGUCCUGUGUACUGCUCUGGGCUCCUCACUCAACUUCUUGGACCUCAGAGCCCCUAAGGAUGACACAAGAGAGAGAGGGUAAUCACAGCCUCCUUCUGUGAUUACUGAGUGUGGAUAUGUGUUCCCGGGGUGUGGGAAGCUCUUCCCAGAGACCACACUGUGGUCAGAGGCCUACUCUUUCUGAAUGCAGUGGGGUCAGCGCCCCUUAGUCCCCGUUAGCGGUCAUGGUUUACUCAGCUCAUCCACUGGUGAGGUCAGGGGCUCUUGCGUCAGGAGACUUCAGGCCUCUCAGAAGCCUGGUUAGAUAUUCAGAGCCCAGGUGCUGAAGCCAGACCACGGAUGCCAGCCUCCUGAAUCCCCACCGUCUGUCCGCUAGGCUACGGUUAUCCCUGGGCUUGUCUGCAGUGCUCAGGGUCACGCAGACACGGCCACAGCUCUCCUGGCCUGUGCCUGAGCGAGGCAACUGUCCCCCAGGAUGGUGCGGAGCCCCAGCACCUCCCACCUGCUGGUUCUGGGCUGGUCUCUCAGAGAUCCGAGGACCUCCACCCCACCCCUGCCCCCAGCCCUCCCACCCUCUGUGUGAGGAUGUACAGUGGCUGAGCAGGGAGAGUGCAGUCAGGACACCAGUAAUCCACCCCCCACCCCACACCUCCUGGUGAAACUGGGCUCCUCAGCUGCCCCCACCCGUCCUCACCAUUUCUGACAUUCUCCUGAAGAGCCCAUGGGACUCUCACUUUGCCGGGUUGUUGGUAUAAUAAAACCUUUUAAAAAAUUACCCUCUGAUCUUUUUAUUCUAAAGGAACACAACAGACUUCAUCGUUGCAAAGAGCCCUCUUAUUUUGUGACUGUGUGUGUGUGGCUGGAGGUCCCCUCCGGAUACUGUUCUGAGCUGUGGCGACGGGCAGGGGUGUGAGACUCGGGGCAGGAGUCCAGUCCCCACCGUGGGCUCUGGCUCCCCCGCCUGUGAUGGAGGUGGUGGGACCAGACGAACUCUAGAGGCAGUUUCGUGCAGAGCCUUCUAGCACUCUGGGAGGUCUUUGGAGACCCUCUGGGGAGGCUGAAGGGCCUAGAAGGUGGGUCCUGAGCCCUUAGCUCCCCAGCAGCUUGCCCUUUAUCUGCUUUGUAUUUACUGAGGUUCCCUGUAGGAUUUUAUUUGAAGAAAGGGUCUUGGUGAUUAAACAAAGCAAAGCAAAGAAGCCACUACUCUUUGAGUUUUUGCAGGGAAGGACUGUGGCUGUCACGAAAAUCCUCUGCAGAUAUUUGCUGAAUGAAGGAAAGGUGAGUGAACUCUUCCUGGGUUGUUGCUUGAGUCUAGCUCUGAGCCGCCCCCAGUAGGCUGCUGCUGCUGCUAAGUUGCUUCAGUCGUGUCCGACUCUGUGUGAUCCCAGAGACAGCAGCCCACCAGGCUCCGCCGUCCCUGGGAUUCUCCAGGCAAGAACACUGGAGUGGGUUGCCAUUUCCUUCUCCAGUGCAUGAAAGUGAAAAGUGAAAGUGAAGUCGCUCAGUCAUGUCUGACUCUUCCUGACCCCGUGG